GAUGAACGCUGACAGAAUGCUUAACGCAUGCAAGUCUUUGGCGAAGCUGUGCUUGCACAGCCUAGCCAAGGCGGACGGGUGAGUAACGCGUAAGGAACUUGCCCUGCAGUCAGGGAUAACAGACGGAAACGACUGAUAAGACCUGGUAAAGUCAGACGGACUCAUGUCCAGCCUGAUGAAAAGAGAUGCUGCAGGAGAGCCUUGCGUCCUAUUAGCUUGUUGGUGGGGUAACGGCGCACCAAGGCGAUGAUAGGUAGCCGGCCUGAGAGGGUGGACGGCCACAAGGGGACUGAGAUACGGCCCUUACUCCUACGGGAGGCAGCAGUGGGGAAUAGUGGACAAGGGGGGCAACCCUGAUCCAGCAAUUCUGUGUGCACGAUGAAGGUUUUCGGAGUGUAAAGUGCUUUCAGCAGGGAAGAAAAAAAUGACGGUACCUGCAGAAGAAGCGACGGCUAAAUACGUG
rnacentral:rRNA from 1 species